GUAGGGAAUAUUGGGCAAUGGUCGGAAGACUGACCCAGCCAUGCCGCGUGCAGGAAGACGGCCCUCUGGGUUGUAAACUGCUUUUAUCUGGGAAGAAAAAGGCCAUGCGUGGCAAAUUGCCGGUACCAGAUGAAUAAGCACCGGCUAACUCCGUGCCAGCAGCCGCGGUAAUACGGAGGGUGCGAGCGUUGUCCGGAUUUAUUGGGCUUAAAGUGUGCGUAGGCGGCUGAUUAAGUCAGCGGUGAAAGACUUCGGCUUAACCGGAGCAGUGCCGUUGAUACUGGUUGGCUUGAGUGUCGGAGGGGGACAUGGAAUUGAUGGUGUAGCGGUGAAAUGCAUAGAUACCAUCAGGAACACCGAUAGCGAAGGCAUUGUACUGGCCGACAACUGACGCUGAUGCACGAAAGUGUGGGGAUCGAACAGGAUUAGAUACCCGAGUAGUCC
rnacentral:rRNA from 1 species